UCAAGGCUUGGGGGGAGCACUAUUACGAAAAAAGGUAAGUUGAAAUUUAAUGAGCACUACUACAUAACUUCACAUUCCUUCCUUAACUCACAAGAUUCUCUCUUCGUCUCUUUAUUUUUCUUACUUAUUGUUGUCCUCCCUCUCUCUCUUUCUUUUUUGUUUUUUUUGGGUUUCCCCAGCCGGGAAGGUUCGUUUCCGAUGAGAAACUCGCCGUCCAAGAACGGUUCAUCGGGAGGGCAUUGUCGUUACUUCAUCGACGCAGUCUGGUCUCCCUUUGUAAAGUCCGGUUUCGGCUCAUCUCCCAACAGAUCAUACGCCCUAGUCUCCCUCCUCAUCCUUCUCGUCGUCGGCGCGUUUGUUUCCACGCGCCUCCUUCUCGACCCUACAGUAAGUGUCCAUCCCACGAAACGACACUCCCUCUUGUCGUUUUCCUUUUCUCAGUCUAAUUAAUUCUUCGGUGUGAUUUGUGUAUAUUUCUUUAUGGAGUUUGAGUUUUUGUUGUGAGACUUUUUGUCACGUGAGAGAAUUUUCUAUUGUUGUUAGUUGGUUGGUGUUGUCGGCGAAUUAGACAGAACAGGACACGUGUUUCAUCAUCGGACCCUAUGUAUGACUUUUAUUUUUCAGUUCCAUUAGCUGUCUCCCGCUACUGCUCACAAGUAGGCAAAUUGUGGA
rnacentral:lncRNA from 1 species